UUUCAAAUAUUAGAGUAGUUUAAUUUAUAACUCUUUAUUGAUGCCACAUUACAACCUUGAGUCCAAUAAAAAUAGACACAAGAUGGCGCCAAACGUCAUUAAUCGAUAAGCUGCUGGGGAAACAAGUUUAGUUUAUGAUUAAUAGUUCCUCUGCUCAGCACUGCCUGCCUUAUCUGAGGCCGAGAUCUCCGUAAACAGCUGCAGUCGCUCCUCUCUCUCUCAGAUCAGCUGACAAACACCAGAGGGAGUUUUCACCCUCCGACCACACAACCACUGACCUCCCAGCUGUGCGGACUGAAACCAGCCCCUGUCCAGCUUAGACAACUCGGUCACAGACCCGAGGAGUAGACUCCCCGGGCGGCCAAAGCCUCCCUGCCUCCGGAAAGUGAUGCCGACAUGCUGUCAUAGCCCCCCUGCGCCGCGGACAUUCAGCCUCCUUCCCCUCCCGCACCUCCCUGGAUCCUCUCUGGCUGGCUGUCGCGGCAGCGGUGCGGAUGUGGAGCCCGCAACGCAACGUUCUCCAUCCGUCGGCAAGCACCGGAGAAGAUGAAAUGUUUUUCCCGUUACCUCCCGUACAUCUUCCGCCCUCCGAGCACCAUCCUGUCCUCCACUUGCCACACCGAAGAAUUCUUUCAACUCUGGCCUGUAACCUUCUGGCAGCCUGUAGGGGGUUUGAACCCAAUCUGUUCACCUCGGUUGGGAGCCAGACACGGCGACUCUCUAUCAAACCGGACUGCUCUUUGCUCUGGUUGACAAGGCUGCAGGAGGGACAUGGCUGCUAUUUGGAUUCAGAGUAAACAUCUGGAUGGACUUCCUCCUUUUCCCUCCAUCUCCCUCUAUGCCUUCCUGUCUCUGGCUUUACAGAAGGGCCUGCUUGAUGGGAAAAGUGGGACAGAUUGGUGGAAUAAAAUCACAUCGUUAAAUCCUGUUUAUGCUAUCGUCCUUAUUUCCUGUGCUUUGGGUUUAUAUGGUCAGAGUUUGGGUUUAGUCGUGUUUAAGGUUUCCUUUGGAUAAAGAUUACUCAGGCUGAGUGUCGGACUUGCCCAGGUGACAUCCGGGCUCAUUUUGUUUGUACCUCUUAAAGUUGUGUGAAACUGGACACACUGUUAGGAUGGAACUUUAAUGAGGUCAUGCAGCAGCAAAGAGAAGGAUGUUUACCUGAUUAGAACAACAAUGAUUCAGCAAACGAUUCAACAAAUAAUGCUUGUCUUG